rnacentral:lncRNA from 1 species
CCGUGAAGACACCGAACCCUCAACAGUGAAUUGCUAAUUUAGGUGCUGCCUGGAAUGUCUGAUAUUUAAGCGGAAAACUCUGAAGGUGCCGGCACCCAUGAAUACUGACAAUAUGACGUCCCAACGUACAAACAAUGUCAUCCUAGGACCGUUGUGGGUGGCAACUGAGACAACUCUGGCACUCACCUGGGCCUGAGCUCCAAGCUGAACCCUCCCCCACUUGGCACCGGAAUGCAUUUGUCUUACUAUCUUUCCUUUUGACUUCUUCCUUUGUUCUGUUUACCUGUUUACUACAAUUCUCAUGUUAUCUGGGUGUAUUGUAACUAUAAUUCCUGUUGACUUUUUUUGUGCCUUUAAUAGAGUAAAAUAAAAAAUAUAUAGUGUAAUACA